CUCGCCGGCCGCCCGACGACGCCGACGGGGACCAGCACGGCCUGAGGCAGCGGGAUGGGAACCAGGAGCGGCCCCGCCCCGGCGCCCUGAGCCCCCCUCGGAGCCGGAGCCGCGCCGGGCGCCGCGACCCUUCUCCGGGCAGCAGCGGCGGCAGCAGCAGCAGCAGCAGCAGCGUGUGAGCGGGACAGGAUGAUGAGCGGACAAUGAUGAUGGCCAGGAAGCAGGACGCCCGCAUUCCCACCUACAACGUGAGCGUGGUGGGGCUGUCCGGCACCGAGAAGGAGAAGGGGCAGUGCGGCGUCGGCAAGUCCUGCCUCUGCAACCGCUUCGUGCGGCCCAGCGCCGACGAGUUCCACCUGGACCACACGUCGGUCCUGAGCACCAGUGACUUCGGGGGCAGGGUGGUCAACAAUGACCACUUCCUCUACUGGGGGGAGGUGGUGCGGGCGCUGGAGGAGUGCGUGGACUGCAAGAUGCACGUGGUGGAGCAGACGGAGUUCAUCGACGACCAGACCUUCCAGCCCCACCGCAGCACGGCCCUGCAGCCCUACAUCAAGAGGGCGGCGGCCACCAAGCUGGCGUCGGCGGAGAAGCUCAUGUACUUCUGCACCGACCAGCUGGGGCUGGAGCAGGACUUCGAGCAGAAGCAGAUGCCCGACGGGAAGCUGCUGGUGGACGGGUUCCUGCUCUGCGUCGACGUCAGCCGGGGCAUGAACAGGAACUUCGACGACCAGCUCAAGUUCGUGUCGAACCUCUACAACCAGCUGGCCAAGACCAAGAAGCCCAUCGUGGUGGUGCUGACCAAGUGCGACGAGGGCGUGGAGCGCUACAUCCGCGACGCCCACGCCUUCGCCCUGGGCAAGAAGAACCUGCAGGUGGUGGAGACCUCGGCCCGCUCCAACGUCAACGUCGACCUGGCCUUCAGCACCCUGGUGCAGCUGGUGGACAAGAGCCGGGGCAAGGCCAAGAUCAUCCCCUACUUCGAGGCGCUGAAGCAGCAGAGCCAGCAGAUCGCGGCGGCCAAGGACAAGUACGAGUGGCUCGUGAGCCGCAUCGUCAAGAGCCACAACGAGGCCUGGGCCAACGUGAGCCGCAAGAUGCAGCCGUCGCCCGAGUACCAGGACUACGUGUACCUGGAGGGCACGCAGAAGGCCAAGAAGCUCUUCCUGCAGCACGUGCACCGCCUCAAGCAGGAGCACAUCGAGCGCCGGCGCAAGACCUACCUGGCCCUGCUGCCCCAGGCCUUCGACGCCCUCAUCCCCGACCUGGACGAGAUCGACCACCUGGGCCGGGGCAAGGUGGAGAAGCUACUGGAGGCCAAGCCCGACUUCCACAAGUGGUUCGUGGUGCUGGAGGAGACGCCCUGGGACGCCACGAGCCACGUGGACAACGUGGAGAACGAGCGCAUCCCCUUCGACCUGAUGGAGACGCCGCCCGCCGAGCAGCUCUACGAGGCCCACCUGGAGAAGCUGAGGAACGAGCGGAAGCGGGCGGAGAUGAGGAGGGCCUUCCGGGAGAACCUGGAGACGUCGCCCUUCAUCACGCCCGGGAAGCCCUGGGAGGAGGCCCGGAGCUUCAUCAUGAACGAGGACUUCUACAUGUGGCUGGAGGAGUCCGUGUACAUGGACAUCUACGGCAAGCACCAGAAGCAGAUCAUAGACAAGGCCAAGGAGGAGUUCCAGGAGCUGCUCCUGGAGUACUCGGAGCUGUUCUACGAGCUGGAGCUCGACGCCAAGCCCAGCAAGGAGAAGAUGGGCGUCAUCCAGGACGUGCUGGGCGAGGAGCAGCGCUUCAAGGCCCUGCAGAAGCUGCAGGCCGAGCGCGACGCCCUCAUCCUGAAGCACAUCCACUUCGUGUACCACCCCACCAAGGAGACGUGCCCCAGCUGCCCGGGCUGCGUGGACUCCAAGGUGGAGCAGCUGCUCGGCUCCCGCUUCAUCCGGCCCUCGGAGCGCAACCAGAAGAACCUGCUGCUGGACUCCAACAUCGACAGGAUCAACCUGGUGAUCCUGGGCAAGGACGGGCUGGCGCGGGAGCUGGCCAACGAGAUCCGGGCGCUGUGCACCAACGACGACAAGUACGUCAUCGAGGGCAAGAUGUACGAGCUGUCGCUGCGGCCCAUCGAGGGCAACGUGCGGCUGCCCGUCAACACCUUCCAGACGCCCACCUUCCAGCCCCACGGCUGCCUGUGCCUCUACAACUCCAAGGAGUCGCUGUCCUACGUGGUGGAGAGCAUCGAGAAGAGCCGCGAGUCCACCCUGGGCCGCCGGGAGAACCACCUGGUGCACCUGCCCCUGACGCUCGUCCUGGUCAACAAGAGGGGCGACGCCAGCGGGGAGACCCUGCACAGCCUCGUCCAGCAGGGCCAGCAGAUCGCCAGCAAGCUCCAGUGCGUCUUCCUGGACCCGGCCUCGGCCGGCAUCGGCUACGGCCGCAACAUCAACGAGAAGCAGAUCAGCCAGGUCCUCAAGGGCCUGCUGGACUCCAAGCGCAACCUCAACCUCGUCGGCUCCACCCCGGGCCUCAAGGAGCUGGCGGACGUGGACCUGCGCAUCGUCAUGUGCCUCAUGUGCGGGGACCCCUUCGGCGCCGACGACGUGCUGCCGCCCCUGCUGCAGGCCCAGGCCUGCCGGCCGGCGCCGAGCAGCAGCUCCUCGGUGCUGCUGGAGCUGCCCGUGGGGCCCCACAAGCGGCGCACGGAGCUGUCGCUGCUGUCCUACCACGCGUCCUUCGGCGUGCGCAAGAGCCGCCUGGUGCACGGCUACAUCGUCUUCUACUCGGCGCGGCGCCGGGCGUCGCUGGCCAUGCUGCGGGCCUUCCUCUGCGAGGUGCAGGACAUCGUGCCCGUGCAGCUCGUGGCGCUCACCGACGGCUCCGCCGACAUCCUGGACAACGACGUGAGCCGCGAGCAGCUGGCGGAGGGCGAGGAGAUCGCCCAGGAGAUCGACGGGCGCUUCGCCGCCGUGUCCUGCGGCCCGCCCGCCCAGCACAAGCUGGAGCUCUUCCAGCCCUUCUUCAAGGACGUGGUGGAGAAGAAGAACAUCGUGGAGGCCGCCCACAUGUACGACAACGCGGCCGAGGCGUGCAGCACCACCGAGGAGGUGUUCAACUCGCCCCGCGCCGGCUCCCCCCUCUGCAACUCCAACCUGCAGGACUCGGAGGAGGACGCGGAGCCCCCCGGCUACAGCCCCUUCCGGGAGGAGCCCGCCGUGCCCGCCCUGCCCAAGGACCACUCGAAGCUCUCCAUGGAGCUGGAGGGCAACGACGGGCUGUCCUUCAUCUCCGUCGUGAGCACUUUCGAGAGCAAGCUGAACAACAAAGUACCUCCCCCGGUGAAGCCCAAGCCCCCCGUGCACUUCGACAUCAAGGGCGACCUCUCCUACCUGGAGCAGGGCCACCGGGACGGGCAGAGGAGGUCGGUGUCCUCCUCGGGCUGGCUGCCCGCCGACUGCUUCGACCCCUCGGACUACGCCGAGCCCAUGGACGCCGUGGUGAAGCCGCGCAGCGAGGAGGAGAACAUCUACUCGGUGCCCCACGACAGCACCCAGGGCAAGAUCAUCACCAUCCGCAACAUCAACAAGGCGCAGUCCAACGGCAGCGGCAACGGCUCGGACAGCGAGAUGGACACGAGCUCCCUGGAGCGCGGCCGCAAGGCCCCGGCGGCCGCCAAGCCCGCCCUGUACCGGGCGCGGUGCCCGCGGCUCGGCCGCUUCGCCGGCUACCGGCCCAGCCUCAGCCUGGGCAGCGACGACGAGCUGGGGCCCAUCAUCCGCAAGAAGGAGGAGGAGCAGAGCUCCCAGGGCUGCUACAAGGGCGACAACGCCGUCAUCCCCUACGAGGCGGCCGACGGGGAGGACCCACGCAGGAGGAACAUCCUGCGCAGCCUCAGGAGGACCACCAAGAAACCAAAGCCCAAGGCGAGGCCCUCGGUCACCAAGAGCACGUGGGAGAGCAGCUACUUCGGGGUGCCCCUGGCCAGCGUCGUGUCCCCCGAGCGGCCCAUCCCCGUCUUCAUCGAGCGCUGCAUCGAGUACAUCGAGGCCACGGGGCUGAGCACAGAGGGGAUUUACCGGGUCAGCGGGAACAAGUCGGAGAUGGAGAGUCUGCAGCGGCAGUUUGACCAGGACCACGGGCUGGACUUGGCCGAGAAGGAUUUCACCGUCAACACCGUGGCCGGAGCCAUGAAAAGCUUCUUCUCGGAGCUGCCGGAGCCGCUGGUGCCCUACGCCAUGCAGGUGGAGCUGGUGGAGGCCCACAAGAUCAACGACCGGGAGCAGAAGCUCCACGCGCUGAGGGAGGUGCUCAGGAAGUUCCCCCGGGAGAACUACGAGGUCUUCAAAUACGUCAUCGGGCACCUCAACAAGGUGAGCCACAACCACCGUGUGAACCUGAUGACCAGCGAGAACCUGUCCAUCUGCUUCUGGCCGACGCUGAUGCGGCCGGACUUCAGCACGAUGGACGCGCUGACGGCCACCAGGACCUACCAGACAAUCAUCGAACUCUUCAUCCAGCAGUGCCCCUUCUUUUUCUACAACCGGCCCCUCCUCGAGCCCCCCGGCGCCGCCUCCUCCUCCUCCUCCGCCCCCGGCGCCCCGGCCUCGCCCUCCUCCUCCUCCUGCUCCGGCCCCUUCCCCUCCCCGGCGCCGCCCUCGCCCCCCCGGACCCCCCCUCCGUCGCCGCAGUCGCCCGUCCAGCCGCCGGAGCCGCCGACGCUCUGAGCACACCCCCCCCGAUCCCGAAAAAAACUGGAGCUCACCCCCCCCGGAUGCCCCCCCCAGACUUUUUGGCUCGGAUUCCCCCCCCAUGGGGUGUGACCGGAGGGGCUCGGCCGGGGGGGGAAAGGAAAGGGGUGGGGGGCGGCUCUAGGGGGUGGGGGUACGGCCGGCACGGGCCAAGGGGGGGCCAAGGUUUGGCCAAAGGGGGGCCCAGGAUUUGGCCGGGGUGGUCCUGGGUUUGGCCAGUAGGACCUGAGGCUCGUCUGGUGGGAGCGGGGUGGCCCAAGGCUCGUCCAGAGGGACCUGGGGCACGUCCAGUGUGAUCCAGAGUGGCCCAAGGCUCGUCCAGAGGGACCUGAGGCACGUCCAGCGUGAUCCAGAGUAGCCCAAGCCUUGGCCAGGGUGGUCCAAGGCACUUCCAGAGGGACCUAGUGGCCCAAGGCUUGGCCAGGGUGGUCCAAGGCUCAUCCAGAGGGACCUGAGGCAACAUCCAGCGUGAUCCAGAGUCACCCAAGGCUCAUCCAGAGGGACCUGAGGCACAUCCAGCGUGAUCCAGUGUGGCCCAAGGCACAUCCAGCACAUCCCAAGGCUCGUCCCAGAUGUCCUGAGGCUCCUCCAGGAGAU